rnacentral:rRNA from 1 species
AAUCAACGCUGGCGGCGUGCCUCAGACAUGCAAGUCGAACGAUUAAGGCUCCCUUCGGGGAGUGUAUAGAGUGGCGCACGGGUGAGUAACACGUAAGUAAUCUACCCUCGAGUGGGGAAUAACGUCCGGAAACGGACGCUAAUACCGCAUAAUGCAGCGGCACCGCAAGGUGACAGUUGUUAAAGAUUUAUUGCUUGAGGAGGAGCUUGCGGCAGAUUAGCUAGUUGGAAGGUAAUGGCUUACCAAGGCAACGAUCUGUAGCCGGUCUAAGAGGACGGUCGGUCACACUGACACUGAAUAACGGGUCAGACUCCUACGGGAGGCAGCAGUCGGGAAUUUUGGGCAAUGGGGGAAACCCUGACCCAGCAACGCCGCGUGAAGGAUGAAGUAUUUCGGUAUGU